AGCUGUGCAGGCAGAUGGAACCUCGUGAUUUACGUGUGAGGUCUUUAUUAGACUGCAAAAGGCCAUAUUACAGCCUUUAUAGGACGAUGCACGUAGUUAAGAGUGUUGUAAAGCGAUGGCGCUAAGGAAAACGACUUGGGACGUUGUAUCACAUUGAGACUUGAAGGACUAGUCCAAUGGUAACCUGCGCAGACAGGUGAAACCACGUGAUUUACGUGUGAGGCCUUUAUUAGACUGCAAAAGGCCAUGUUACAGCCUUUAUAGGGCUGUGCACGUUACCAUUGGACUAGUCGUUCCAGUCUCAAUGUGCCACAACGUCCCAAGUCGUUUUCCUUAGCGCCGUCGCUUUAGAACACUCUUAACUACGUGCAUCGUCCUAUAAAGA